AGAGUUUGAUCAUGGCUCAGAAUCAACGCUGGCGGCGCGCCUAACACAUGCAAGUCGAACGAGAAAGUGGAGCAAUCCAUGAGUACAGUGGCGUACGGGUGAGUAACACGUGGGUAAUCUACCUCUUAGUGUGGAAUAACUUUGGGAAACCGAAGCUAAUACCGCAUAAGCUCGAGAGAGGAAAGCAGCAAUGCGCUGAGAGAGGAGCCCGCGGCCGAUUAGCUAGUUGGCAGGGUAAAAGCCUACCAAGGCAUAGAUCGGUAGCCGGCCUGAGAGGGCACACGGCCACACUGGCACUGAAACACGGGCCAGACUCCUACGGGAGGCAGCAGUGGGGAAUCUUGCACAAUGGGGGAAACCCUGAUGCAGCGACGCCGCGUGAGCGAUGAAGCCCUUCGGGGUGUAAAGCUCUUUCGGCAGGGAAGAUAGUGACGGUCCUGCAGAAGCAGCUGCGGCUACUACGUGCCAGCAGCCGCGGUAAUNNGUAGGCANNNAGCGUUGUUCGGAGUUACUGGGCGUAAAGGGUGUGUAGGCGGUUGUUUAAGUUUGGUGUGAAAUCUCCCGGCUCAACUGGGAGGGUGCGCCGAAUACUGAAUGACUAGAGUACGGGAGAGGAAAGUGGAAUUCCUGGUGUAGCGGUGAAAUGCGUAGAUAUCAGGAGGAACACCGGUGGUGUAGACGGCUUUCUGGACCGUAACUGACGCUGAGACACGAAAGCGUGGGUAGCAAACAGGAUUAGAUACCCUAGUAGUCC
rnacentral:rRNA from 1 species